rnacentral:lncRNA from 1 species
UGCCAGGUGAAAAAAGCAUCAUUAAGAGAUGAAGAAAAAAAUCACUUUCUAUAAAAUAAUCAAUGAAAGUUUAACUAGUGACAAGAUAUGCUGCAAAAUUUCAGUGAGGCAUAGAGAUGUGAAUGAGAUCUCUAAAUUUAUAAUAAUGGGAUUUAUUAACUAUUCAAACAGGUUUAAAUCACUGUUUGCAAGUGUGUAUGUUAAAAUGAUCUAUUCAAUUUAAAUAACUGAAUUCAUAAACCACUUUCUGUUAUUAUUUCCAAUUCCAUACAUAGAAAUGCUUUAAAAGGUUGCCUAGGAGUUCCUCUUGUGCUUCAGUGGUUAACAGAUCUAAUUAGGAACCAUGAGGUUGCAGGUUCGAUCCCUGGCCACACUCAGUGGGUUAAAGAUGCAGUCUUGCCGUGAGCUGUGGUGUAGGUUGCAGACGGGUUGGAUGGUUAGAUGCCGAGUUGCUGGGGCUCUGGCAUAGGCCGGCAGCUGUAACUCUGAUUAGAUCCCUAGCCUGGGAACCUCCACAUGCCAUGAGUGUGACCCUAAAAAAGAAAACCAAAACAAAACAAAUACACAUGUAGGAGAUAUGAAGGUGAGGACAUAAACUUUCUUGUAUCUCUUCCUGUGUUUAUUGACAAUAUGAUGUGAAUAAUCACUAACUAUUCCCAUUUAAGUGUACAAGUUACCCUUGGGCAUCAAUUAUAACCAAACAGAGGACAUAAGCAAUAGCUAAAAGCUGACAAAUGUGUGUGUAGAAAGCCCCUUAAAACAUAAUCACUCUCCCAUCAAAGAAGAAGCCAGGAUAUCAUAACCAGGCAAUUGGGACACCUUGUCAGUUAUGUAUAAAUUGGGCAAUAAAGAAAAUAGCUUGACAUAAGGGAUGCCACAACCUAAGAAAGCUGAGAAGGGUAUGGAGCUCGAUUCCCAUGUGGACUUUCCUGCCCUAAGUCUACAACAACCCUUGAAGAUGCCAAGUCCUACAGUGGAACAGAUGUAAAUAUUCAAGAGCCAGGCAAUAAAAAGACUGCUAAAAUCUGCUCCUCAGAUUACAAAUAAAAUAUUUUGUCUUAGUUCAACAUGAGAAUCUUGAGAAAAACAGAUUCUGAAAUAUACCUACAGCAUAGGAAAAAUAUGAAAGAUAUUUUGGAUUUAUUUAAAAAAAAUCCCCACAUACAAAUUUCUAUUCACCUUAAAUUCCUGAGCUACAGUCUUGAAUAUUUUUCCCCUCUCAGGAGGUCUUCACCUAGUUUAUCCACUGUUCUGUCCAACACAAUAUGUUGAAACCACACGUACCACAUCUUACCACUUUCCACUUUGGUAGUUCCUAUUUUGAUAAGAAGCUUCAGUUCAGACACUUGAACAUCAGUACAGUUUGGUUUCCCUGAAAGCAGAUACUGAGAUGGUGUUUUUGAUGUGAGUUUUUUGUUGUUUUUGUUUUGUUUGUUUGUUUAAAGGAUAGCCCUUCGUCAAAGAAAAGGAAGGCAGUAGCCUUGGGUAGAUGGAGAAGCAUGGAGUGCCAUGUUGGUGAGUGAAGACUCAGGCAAAGCUCUGAGUCCUCAGCCAACUUCAAAUGGCUGGACCGUUCUAUCUCCUCUUUGAUUGGUCACUGGAUUCAUGCUGCUCUUGGGAAGUGUGUGAUCUCUGGAGAGCUGUCUCCUGUGCAGCUAGAGCCCCUUGAAGGCUCCCAGCUCCCACAGCUUGCUGACCACAGCUGGACAGCAAGUCAGUCCUUCCUUGAAGGGAAUCUGGAGGUGUUACUGCAUCUACUCUAUUUACCCCUUACUCUCAUAUAGAAGUAGUCAUUAGGUCUAAGAAAUGUUGAGGCUUUAUGUUCUGCUUUAUCUUUUAUAGCUUCACUGUUACUGAAUUAAUCUCAGUUGCCUUUUGCUUGUUUUCUAGAUAUUUGUGGCCAUUUUCUUGCUCUGUUAAUACCUGAAGUUUCUUUCAUGCACUGCCUACAUGACAUAACAAAGCCCCCCUGUCUUUUCGGUAGGUCCACACUGACUUCAGCUAAUUUAACACUGGUUUACCUACCUACACUUGGACCAAUUCAACUAUAAUACCAUCUCUGUGCCAUGGUCCUCAAGGUCUUCAUUCCUUUGUUCAGGCUCUUUCUCCUGAUACUAAUGUUUUUCAUGCCCCUGUCACAUCAGCCUGGUAAAGAUUUAUUCUCUUUAAAAGAAUACUUCUGCCCAGGAGCAAUAGUUUAUGAUUUUCAACUUUGAACUAGCUCUAUAGCAAGCAAAGGCUUCAGCAAGUUAACUUGUCUGUUUAUUAACAUUAGUGUAACAUAUAUGUGAACAGUACUUAUUGAAAUGCCUCAUUUAUAUGGGCACAGACAAUGUAUUUUGAGGUUUGCGGAAGAGAUUCAGAGAGCAUGAGAGAGAGGGCGAAACAGAACGUUGAAAAUGGACAUACAAAAAUAUCAACUGGUUACAAAGGAGAUGUUCUAAGUCAUAGAAAAAUAUAAAUAAUCUAUUUGCCAAAUAGCCAUCUGGCAAUUUGUUCAUGAUGAUAAAAACAAAGAUAAUUUACAUCUCUGAGUUUUAUUUACCAAAUAUGUAAAAAUAUGGCUUAUAACAGAAAUUUAAUGGAAUUCUAGUCACAGUUUCUGGCACACAGUUUGCACUCAAUAAACUAUAAUUAUUACACUUCUUGUGUGUGGAGUCAGAUAAACAAGGUUUCUAUUGUCCUAGUUACUGACAAAAUAGUUAACCUGCUUUUAACAAGUUAUUUCAAAAAUUUGUGUGAAAAAAUCAAGUAUCUCACUGCCAUGUAAGACAAUAUGCUAAUUAUGAGGGAUAAGAUAGUGAGGAAAACAAUUCUAAACAUACUUGCACUAAAAAUCCCAUAAAGACACAGCCAUAUUUUUUUUUUCAUUUGGCUAUUUUUUUUUAAAAAGAACAAUAUCAUUCAAUGUAAAAUUCUGUGGGUGUUUUAUUAUGAUGCUAUUUUCAUCCAAGCAUUUAGUUAUGCACAAGUAUAAAUAUUAUUUUAUAGUAAAACAAUGUUGCUUUAAAGAAUGGAUCUAGAAUUCUUGCUCACCACAGCUCUAUGGGUGAAGCUGAUUCAAAACAAUUUUCUAAAGAGAAUUUGAUCCCUGAAUGUGGACACACCCAGGGUUCACCCCAAAUGGCUUUACUGAAAUUUAAAUCCCCAUAAAGAGAUUAUAAACCUAACCCCACAUUGACUAUUUCUAAAGAACAUGGCUCUGAAUUCCCACGGCUACAUAAAAAGAGCUAUAUUCCCGGCCUUUACCAGGGAGUUAAUCUCAAAUCAAUGUCAGCCAAAAUUUACUAAAAGUAUUGGGACGCUAAAUGAUUUUCAAGGACCAGUCCAGCCUGUCUUUAUAAUUGGUUUUACUAAGUUGUGAUUGUAGGGUGGUGCUGCCAGCUUUAGUGAACUCUUUGCCAGAUCUCUUUACAGGACAUUAAUGUGGCUGACCAAAAGGAUCUGGAAGACUUGAGUGCAGGGGUUUUAUCAGUCUCUCCUUUGAUGUAGCCCAAGCAUCUAGCAACCAUGUCUGACACAUAGUAGGCUGAAUAAAUAUCUGUGCAUGAAUGAUUCCACUUUAUUGUAGUGCUUUCAUCAGGAGACCAUUCAACAAAAAUAUUUUCCUAAUUAUUAUACCAAAAAGAAUCACAUUUCCCUGGACAAUUAGUUUAUUUUAAUAUCAAGGCUAUUUAAGAUCAUGAUGAAAAAGAGGUCCCUUUUACAUUAAUUAUCAAAGGUUUGAUGAUGAACUUCAACUCAGGUAACUAGUAUGGGUCACUCAGGUGUUUCAGCUUGAUUCCAUGCCACACUGUGUAGUGACAUUUUAAUUUCUAUAUAUUUUUUCUUCUUUUAUUUUAGAUUUACUUGGAAUCAUAUGAGAUUCUUUGUGAAACAAGCAAGAUGUAUAGAAAGAAAGAGAUGUUUCCUAAAUUUCCUCUCUGUGUUAAGGUUAAGCUGGAUUCACUACUAGGUGAUAUAGAUGAAAGAGAAUUACUAUAAAUGGCUCAGGAUGACAGGCAUUUCCCCAAAACUUUCUGUUUGUUUUUGUUAAAGUAUAGUUAAUUUACAGUGUUGUGCUAAUUUCUGCUGUAGAGUGUAAUGACCCAAUCAUACACAUACAUACAUUUUUUUUUCUCAUAGUAUCUUCCAUCAUGUUCUAUCCCAAGAGAUUGGAUAUAAUUCCCUAUGCUAUACAGUGAGACCCAGAGUUUUCUAACUUACCUUCUCCAUUGUGCUGUCCACUACUCAACUCCUAAUAAAAGCUCAAUUAUUUUAACCAGUUAUUAAUAGGAUGCCACCACUUAUAUUAAGUAGCAGUUGUGUUAUUUUUAAUAAAAAUAUAUUUUUAAGAAUGAGCAUGGGAUUAAUUUUAAGGCAGUAGCAUUGUUCCAAAUUUAGAUGAUGGUGAUGGCUGCACAACUCCGUAAAUAUGCUCUAUUUAAAUGUAAUAAUUUAUUUAUAUUUCAAUAAAGUCUUUUUUCUUUUUAGACAAAAUAUGCUUGCAUUAGCUUCCAUAACAUAUAACCAUACACCUAGUAUUUUAAAGCAACAGAUAUUGGCUCUCUUAUGGUCUGGAACUCAGGAGUCUGAAAGCACUUUUGCCAGGAUAGUGUCAAUAAGAUGAUUCCUUCUGAAGAAUCUGGAUAAGGAAAGGGAGAGAAAGGGAAGAGAAUCCCUUUCUUUGCUUUUUUCAGCUCCCAGAGGCCACUGUUAUUCUUUGACACCCUGCAUCUUCAGAGAUCCCUCCCCUAAUCUCUUCUUUUCUCUUCACAUUAUUUUCUCUUCUGGCUCUGACUCAACUUUUAAAUUAUUCAGAAAAUGUAGGAUCAUCUCCCUAGCUCUAGGUUCUUAACUGGAAAACUGUUGCAAAAUCUCUUUUUCCAAAUAAGGUAGAAUUCACAGGUUCCAGGAAUUGGGAUGUGGAGCCCAUUACCCAGCCCAUCCCAAUGUCCUAAGUGCAAGUAUUCACACACUCAC